GACGAACGCUGGCGGCGCGCCUAACACAUGCAAGUCGAACGAGCGAGAGAGAGCUUGCUUUCUCGAGCGAGUGGCGAACGGGUGAGUAACGCGUGAGGAACCUGCCUCAAAGAGGGGGACAACAGUUGGAAACGACUGCUAAUACCGCAUAAGCCCACGGUGCCGCAUGGCACAGAGGGAAAAGGAGCAAUCCGCCUUGAGAUGGCCUCGCGUCCGAUUAGCUAGUUGGUGAGGUAAUGGCCCACCAAGGCGACGAUCGGUAGCCGGACUGAGAGGUUGAACGGCCACAUUGGGACUGAGACACGGCCCAGACUCCUACGGGAGGCAGCAGUGGGGAAUAUUGCACAAUGGGGGAAACCCUGAUGCAGCGACGCCGCGUGGAGGAAGAAGGUCUUCGGAUUGUAAACUCCUGUUGUUGGGGAAGAUAAUGACGGUACCCAACAAGGAAGUGACGGCUAACUACGUA
rnacentral:rRNA from 1 species